ACUUUUCCGCGGCGGAGCGCAUGCGUGGCGGAGCCGUAACGAUUUCCCCCGGCAAGCUACUUGGCUCCUUCGGUUCCCCGUGCUAAACCUGUUAACUACAUUAGCGCAAAAUUAAUGUUACCUGAAGCAUAAAUUGAGCUGCUUGUAGUAUUCCCGUGGAGAAUAAGUGCGCUAAGGCUAUGGCUAGAACUAAAAGCAGAGCUUCUGCGUUUGGGCUAAACCUGGACUUUCUGAAUACAGAAGUUGCUGGUCUAGAGGUUGAAUCGGAGCUGCACCUGCUGGUCUGUGCCACAGCCACAGCCACACUGGAUCUGAGCCGCACCUGUGUUCUACACUGCAGCUUGCUGCAACACUGGAUCCUUAACCCACUGAGCAAGGCCAGUUUGAUGUGGGAUCAAACCCACAUCCUCGUGGAUACUAGUUCUUAACCCCAAUUAUAAUUCCUCCAAUUAUAAUUUUUAAUAAACAACUUAUUUAACUACCUG